GACGAGCGCUGGCGGCGUGCUUAACACAUGCAAGUCGAACGGAAAGGCCCUGCUUUUGUGGGGUGUUCGAGUGGCGAACGGGUGAGUAACACGUGAGUAACCUGCCCUUGACUUUGGGAUAACUUCAGGAAACUGGGGCUAAUACCGGAUAGGAGCUCCUGCUGCAUGGUGGGGGUUGGAAAGUUUCGGCGGUUGGGGAUGGACUCGCGGCUUAUCAGCUUGUUGGUGGGGUAGUGGCUUACCAAGGCUUUGACGGGUAGCCGGCCUGAGAGGGUGACCGGCCACAUUGGGACUGAGAUACGGCCCAGACUCCUACGGGAGGCAGCAGUGGGGAAUAUUGCACAAUGGGCGGAAGCCUGAUGCAGCAACGCCGCGUGCGGGAUGACGGCCUUCGGGUUGUAAACCGCUUUCGCCUGUGACGAAGCGUGAGUGACGGUAAUGGGUAAAGAAGCACCGGCUAACUACGUG
rnacentral:rRNA from 1 species